rnacentral:rRNA from 1 species
GACAGAGGUGCCGAGCGUUAGGCGGAAUCACUGGGCUUAAAGCGUGUGUAGGCGGACCGUUAAGUACCUUGUGAAAUCCCACGGCUCAACCGUGGAACGGCUGGGUAUACUGGCGGUCUUGGGCCACUCAGGGGCGAGCGGAACAAGUGGUGGAGCGGUGAAAUGCGUAGAUAUCACUUGGAACGCCGACGGUGAAAACAGCUCGCUGGGAGUGUGCCGACGCUGAGACACGAAAGCCAGGGGAGCAAACGGG